GGAUGUGAGGGCGAUCUGGCUGUGACAUGUGUUACCCCAUUGAUCACCAGUGUUGAUUUGGCUAAUCUGGAUGGCUAGGCAAGUGUCCCCUUCCUCCCUCACCGCUCCAUGUGCAUCCCUCCCAAAACUGUGCACUCGAUUGAAGAGGACAACCAACCCCUAUAGAGGGGGACCAGUCUUCAGUCAAGGGUAUAUGAGUAGCUGCACUCCCCUGCUAGAACCUCUAAACAAGCUCCCAAAAUGGCCCAGUUAAAUGAGAACAUAAAUAUAAUGAGAAUCAUGUUGUGUAUUU
rnacentral:snRNA from 1 species